AUGAGAGGCAAGCAGUGGCCAGAGCACUUGGAUCGUGAAGUUCCUUCUGCAUUAUGGCAUCUGGACUUCAUCAGAAUACGUUGUCGAUAUCCACUGUCUUUAUUAGAAUCUGAUAAAUCCUUAACCUUUCUAUCAUUACCACCUCCAUCCAAGCCAUUACAAUUCCUUACUGUGAUUAUUAUCAUAUUCUUUUGUGUGAUCUCCCUUCUGAUCUUGAGGUUUAAAAUAGAAGUUCUAGGACAGUUUCAUAUAUAUUCAUUCAUUGACUUACAACAUAAGGGACUAAGAGCUUUCUAAACAAAGGAACACAUUUGUGGAAUUUAAAUAUUCUACUUACUUGUUUUACAUAACUAUUUUACAUGUAUACGGUCCCUGAGGUAUUAGGAAACAUGAAGAUUAUUUAGUAUAACAUCACCAGAUGGAUGAAUACCUCUAUAACAGUCAUAAGAAGAGGUCAUCUCACUUUUCUGUACAUACCUCAUGAUGUAAAAUGUGCCAUCUCUCUUGAAAGUAGAUAUAUUUUCAGGCAAAAUAAUUAUCAGACAGUCCUUUCUUACAAUGAGCCAAUGUCUUCCUUUCUGCAAUGUUCUCCUGCUUCAUUCUCUUUUUGCCCUCCAAGAGUCUCAGAGAAUGAAACGAAUCUCUCUUUCACCUGACAAUGCUUCAGAUAUUUAGAGACAGCUAUUAUAGUCUGGUCUUUUUCCAUCACUUAUUAAACAUCCUCAAAAUUUUUAACUGUUAUUUGGAAUUUUGUUUGUUAAAGACUUGUCAAAUCCCCACAUCCAGACCCGAACACAAUGCUGCUGACCAGGACAGGGCAGACUUACCAGCCACCUUCAUGAACUUUUAAAUAACGAAGGAAGUUUUGUUCUUCAUCUUCUCUAACAAACUUGCAGAAGAAGGUGGGCAUCUGAUUGACAGGUAUCUUUACAACCUUUUGUGAUUGUCUUUUGAUUUUUGACUAAGAUUUGCAUUGAAAGUGUAUAUGAUAAAAUAUAUACAAAAAAGAAAUGAAAUCAGAAAUAACAUCAGGCUUUCGUUUAAAAACACAAAUUAUUGCUCUAAUUAAAGAGUUUCUCAUUGGAGCUUUGUUCUUUUAGGCUAUCAAAUGGAAAGUAGAAAAAUGUGAACUGUACCUCACAUUAAAAUAAAAAUGUAGGACAAAUUAAGUUUAACAGCGUUUAAUUGAGCAAAGAAUAAUUCGUGAAUUGGACAGCCCAUGGACCAACCAGAAUAGGUUGAGAGUGACUUCAGUGCCAUCCCACCGUUGGAGAUGAUUUAUGGACACACACAAAAAAGAUGCACAGAACAUGGAAGUGAGGUACAGAAAUAGCUGGAUCGGUUACAGCUCCACGUUUGUCUUAUUUGAAAAGGGUUGAUCAGCUGGCUGCUCGUAAUUGGUUGAAAAUCUGUCAUUGGCACUAGAAUAUGUCACAGUCUGUUUACACAUCCAGUUAUUUUACACUUCACUAUGUACAAAAAACCUUUAGGAAGAACUUAAAAUAUGUAAGAAGGCAGCUUUAGGCUACAUUUAAUUUAACAUUCAUGAAGUAAGAAUUUUAUAAUUAUUUUUUGCUACAGUUUUGCUGUUUCAUAUUUCAUCUCCGAAUAUAUUUUGUUAUCAUUUGAAUUUAAUUCAUCUGGUAAUCAGCAGUUGUAAAAACAUGAACAUUGUUUUCUUCUGGAACACAGUAGAAUUCAUUUCUCAAGUUAAGAUGUGCGUUUGAAACUCUGAGUUGUAUUAUGUCUAACCCAGCAAACCGGCCUUACUAAUUUUAAAUAGUGAUAGAGUUUCUUGCUGUUCCUAAACUCACAGCUGAGUAUUUGGUUUUUAAUUGUCUUUCUCAUUUAUUUCUUCAUCCUCUUUCAGGGCAUCCUUUCGCUUUCAGGAUUUGUCAAUCUCUUGCUUAAUUGUUUCAAAUUACAUUCUAGUAAAUGCAGCACAAAUCUAACUUAAAGGAAGCGAGAAAGCUCUUCAUCUUAUCUCACCUUUGGGAAUGCAAUGUCGUGCUGUCUUUCUGGUUUAUACCUAACUUCUACAAAGCAGAACAAAGAAAAGAGGGGUUAAUGAGGGAGGAUAUCUAUAAUAGGUAGACCUAGAGAUAGAAAAGUAAGUGUGCAAAGAACAUUUGUGUGCAUUAGGUAAAUUAGUAGUAAGAAAAUAGAUUUAUUAAAUUGUACAAUCAUAUGUUUUAGGGGUUUUGUACACAGAGUGUGGCAAAAUUAUACACAGACCAGUUGUAAAAAAUAAACAGAUAACACAAUCUACAGUAUCUUUUCAGUGAAAAGAUCAUUGAGUAUAUUUUCACAAAUAUAUGUAUCUGUGAGUAUAUAUAAAAAUAUAAAAAUAGACAUUUUCAUAUGUAUUUUUGUCAUUUGUUUUGUGUUUCCACUAAGCUUUUGAAAGACUAUGUUAUUAAUUGCAAAUACAAUCACUUCCUGUGCAAAGAAACUUCAUGUUAGUUACAUGAGUUUGAAACAGCUCCCCUAUCCCUUUUAAAUUUCCAUUUUCUCCUUUUCAUACUUGAGCAUCCUUCUUAGAUAAAGAAUGUAUAGUUUUACUCCUUGCUCUUACUCAUUAAGAUUUAAGAGUGAUGGAGUUUCAUUUUUCUUAUUGUUAAAUAAAGAAAAACAAAUAAAAAUUUGUUUACAUCCAGGCUUAAUAAGUUAUAGGGGAAUAUAAAAUUUAUUUAUACAAACAAACAAUGUCAUAUGGAUCAUAUAUGAGCAUCAUGUACCCUUGAUAUGAUAUAUUGAAGGACACAUCACUUCUGUUGCAUUCUUGCCAAAAACACACAGUCUUAAUGUGACCAUCAGUUAAACCCAAGUGGACAGACAUUCUAGAAAAGAGCAGAUCAGUGGUCUUCAAAACACUGUUAAAGUCAUAGAAAAUAUCAGAGACUGAAGGAGACUAAGGAACCGUGACAACUAAAUGCAAUGUGACAUCCUGGAUGGGAUCCUGGGACUGAAAAAAGAUAAUCAAGGAAAAAGUAGCAAGAUCAGAAUAAAGUCUGUAAUUCAGAGAAUAGUGUAGUACCCAUGUUAAGUGCUUGGCUUCAGUAAUUAUUUUCAUGGUUAUAGAGAAGGUUAACAUCAGGGAAAGCUAGAUAAAGGUAUAGGAGAACUCUCUUUUAUGGGUUGUAGUACAGGUACUAGUUUCAUAACUUAUUUAUAACUCUAAAUGUAUGAAAUAGAAUAUUGAAAAUAUUAAAUAAAAUGUAUUUGAAACAGAAUAAAAUAAAAUAUUUUAAAACUAUAGUCUUCCUCCUUCCUGAGAGUUCAGUAGGGGCAUGCUAGUCCAGUACACAUUUAUUUUUCCUCUUUAUUUUAUUCAAAUUUGAAGUUUGUGUUUAUUUCAUAUUAACAGAGAGUAGCAUCGAAUCCUAACUUAAAUUUAAAAGGGAGCUUAAAACCAAACAAUUUAAUCUCUUUAUACACAAUGGCACUCAUCUGAAAAUAAUGCAUAUAGAAGAGAAAAUAUUUCAUAGCCAGCCCAUGGAAGUCUGUGACUAGCUGAGACCAGCACUCAGAAACCCUUACACUCAAUGUAGUUCUUUUCCAUACCACUCUGACUCCAGACUCAAGAUCGUUACUAGCAGCAUUUCUGAUUUUAUGAUUUACCAUAGGCAUUUUUAAAUGACGACGGAUGACUUUAAAUGAUUUAAGACCUACUUCAUGCCCAUGAUCUAGUCAGAGCCAGUUUUGUUUUGUUUUGUUUUGUUUUCCAUAAAUGUGUUCCCUGGCUUGUGUUGCUAAAUGAAAUUCAAAACUAGUGAUAUACAAAUAGCUUUAUCAAAGGCAAACGUCGUUUCAUUUAUUAGUGGUCACCGGUGGCCCAUAAACAAAGUACAAUCUAUUGAAUAAAACAGAUUGCUUUUUUGAUUCUAUUGAUUGUUUCUUUGAAUUUUCUGAGGAUAAUUUAGUAACAAAAGCCUUUCUCCACUAUUACUUCUAAUACAUGUAUUUACUCACGUAUUUUUCUUUUGCUUACACAGAGAAAAUGAAAUAAUUAAAGCAGUUUUUCAAUGUUUCUGCAAUUUGUACUUAGAUCUUGUGAGGCAAACCUGUGGAUCAGUUAUUUCUUUGCACAUAUACUGUGCCUGUGUGUGCU
ensembl:lncRNA